rnacentral:lncRNA from 1 species
GCCAUUACAUUUACAUUAAUAUUGAGGGUGAAACUGUUCUCUUUACCAAUGUACUCCAAUUCAACGUCAUAUCUCUUUCUUGUUUGUCUGUUUCUCUUUUAAAACUAUUAUUGCGUGCAUCAUUAUUUUUAAGUGCCAAUUCAUCUUAUAUGCCCUUACUUUUUUCUUAAAGGGGUGGCUUGGAUUGAGCAUAAAAAGCGUAAGCGUAAGCUGAAGUCUGCAAAGGUAAAGGCCUGGAAUCUGGUGACUGGUGUUGAACACUUUGGCGACGCUCAAAUCAAAGAUGCGAUGAAGAUGGUGUACUGAUGAACAUCUAUUAGAGUAAUUGAUACAUGUUCUGGAUCAUGUAAUAUGUUUUAAGAGUUUAAGUCUGAGGUAAAGGCCUGGAAUCUGGUGACUGGUGUUGAACACUUUGGCGACGCUCAAAUGAAAGAUGUGAUGAAGAUGGUGUAUUGAUGAACAUCUAUUAGAGUAAUUGAUACCUGCAUCAUGUAAUAUGUUUUAAGAGUUUAAGUCUGAGGUAAAGGCCUGGAAUCUGGUGACUGGUGUUGGAACACUUUGGUGAUGCUCAAAUCAAAGAUGUGAUGAAGAUGGUGUACUGAUGAGCAUCUAUUAGAGUAAUCGAUACAUGUUCUGGAUCAUGUAAUAUGUUUAGGAGUUUAAGUUUGAGAUUGAACAUCUUUUCUUUGGGCGCAGACAUAUAUGGAAAUGAAAUUGAGGGCAACGCAAAGAAAGAAGUAGUGCUAGGCGUUAAUUAUGUAUGACAGACAUAUGGAAAUGAAAUUGAGGGCAAUGCAAGGAAAGAAGUAGUGCUAGGCGUUAAUUAUGUAUGACAG